GCUGGGCGUGGUGGCUCACACCUGUAAUCCCAGCACUUUGGGAGGCUGAGGCAGGAGGAUCACCUGAGGUCAGGAGUUCGAGGCCAGCCUGGCCAACAUGGUGAAAUCCUGUCUCUA
ensembl:misc_RNA Metazoa_SRP Metazoan signal recognition particle RNA